rnacentral:rRNA from 1 species
UACAAAGUCGAGUCGGUUUAAGGAUACGUUCGUUGGGUAGGGGAGCGUUCUGUAAGCCGUAGAAGGUGGCCUGUGAGGGCUGCUGGAGGUAUCAGAAGUGCGAAUGCUGACAUAAGUAACGAUAAAGCGGGUGAAAAGCCCGCUCGCCGGAAGACCAAGGGUUCCUGUCCAACGUUAAUCGGGGCAGGGUGAGUCGACCCCUAAGGCGAGGCCGAAAGGCGUAGUCGAUGGGAAACAGGUUAAUAUUCCUGUACUUGGUGUUACUGCGAAGGGGGGACGGAGAAGGCUAUGUCGGCCGGGCGACGGUUGUCCCGGUUUAAGCAUGUAGGCGGAGGUUCCAGGUAAAUCCGGUACCUUAUUAAACGCUGAGGUGUGAUGACGAGGCACUACGGUGCUGAAGUGACAAAUGCCCUGCUUCCAGGAAAAGCCUCUAAGCAUCAGGUGACACGUAAUCGUACCCCAAACCGACACAGGUGGUCAGGUAGAGAAUACCAAGGCGCUUGAGAGAACCCGGGUGAAGGAACUAGGCAAAAUGGUGCCGUAACUUCGGGAGAAGGCACGCUGAUAUGUAGGUGAAGUGAUUUACUCAUGGAGCUGAAAUCAGUCGAAGAUACCAGCUGGUUGCAACUGUUUAUUAAAAACACAGCACUGUGCAAACACGAAAGUGGACGUAUACGGUGUGACGCCUGCCCGGUGCCGGAA